rnacentral:lncRNA from 1 species
AAAGAGCACUGCUCAGGGCGUCAGGAGCCUCUGAUCCCUGUCUGGUUCCACCACUAACUUGCUGGAUGUUCUUGGGCAAGUACCUUAAUCUCCCUGGUUGUCUCUGCCUUACAGAGUUGCUGUCAUAUUUAAAUAAAGCAGAAUCACUAAAUAGUGAAAUUGGGAGAAUGUUCAUCUCUCUCUUUCUAGAGAUAAGGAAACUGAAGCCCUGACAGGCCUCAGCUCCUAAGUAGCAGAACCAUGACCUGAAUCCAGGUCUCCUGGCAAGCUGUUCCGAGCCUGUUCUUUCCUCCUCAAACCUGGACUUCCGCAGCACGCAUGCAGAGCAAGGAAAUGCUAAGGGUUAUCACAAGACCCUUCAGCAUCUGCCCAGCCCUUUGGCUUUUCCAAGUUCUUUCUGAUCUCAGAAUGCAGUUUGUUUCUUUGGAAACUACUUAGUGGGGCAGGGGAUCCUCCUCUCCACUUUAUGGAUGUGGAAAUUCAGAUCUAGAGAGGAAGUGAACUGUCCAAGGUCAAGGCCAGAAGUAGAGGGGCCAGGGCUAACAGCUUCAUCUCUGGCUCUCAGCCGGGAUUUCUGAAUCAGGGCUUCUUCACCUCAGCACAAUUGAAAUUUUUUUGCCAGAUUCUUCUUUGGGAUUUUUGAGAGGAGGAGGUGGGCUCUGUCCUGUAGAGGAGGAGGUGGGCUCUGUCCUGUAUACUGUAGGAGGUUUUGCAGCAUCCCCGACCUCUUUGCACUAGAUGCCUGUAACAUUUACCCUCCACCCCAUUGUGACCACGAAAA